UGCAAGCGGUGCCCUUCCCCUUGUCCAAUUAAAAAAAAAAAAAACAGGGGAGGCACCGGCCGCGACCCAACUCCCCUGGCCACCGUCUCUCUCUCUCUCUCCCGCGCUCUUUCCCCCCUCGCGCGCCUUCAUCCCACCGCCUCUCCUCUCUCCGACCACCCAACACCGGCGCCUCCCAUCCCCUCUUUUUCUCUCUUUUCUCAUUUUCCGCCUCCUCCUUCCGCUGUCCCCCUCUUCUCCUCCUCUCAACGGAGCGUCGUCAGUCGCCGCUGGGGGGUGCCUUGGAGAAGAAGAAGAGGGGGAAAAAGCUAAGUUGUUGAAGCCAUCAUCAAGGUUGAUUUUGAAGUGUUUGCGAAUUUCCAAGAUGUUUGGUUAGCACGAGAAAGAGAGUAUGGUAAUGAUAGCCAAAAUCUUGCUCCCUCAAGUUUUUGGAAGAAUACCAAUUCAAGAAUUCAGAGGCCUUCUUGCUGAAAGGUCAACAAUGAACUUUUACAUGAAAAGUACAGAAAGAUUUCAUUUUUAUUCUAUUGGAAGGAGUUAUAAAGAAGCAACAUGACCCGAGAGGCUAUGUCACAUCUCCAGCAGCAUUGGUUCCUGAGUCUGCUGAAUUAGAUUUUUUUAAUUUAUGCUCUUCAGGCACCAGCAUGGCCAGCGCUAGUCAUCAAGGAUCUUAUUGCACGGUUAAAGACAGAGCUAGAGAGAUGUUUUUGAUAUCAGUUCCUUUUAUUCAAAUACAACUUCUUUAAGGCAUUGUUUACCAGCCUCUUAUUCCACUGAGGAUUCAAAAGGCUAAUGCAAGUAACACAAAGGUAUUGAGAGCUUGGCAGAGCAUCUCGGCAAAUGAUGACAUCUAUCAGCUACACAACUGAAAUUGAUCAGCUGUGAAUAGUUUAUUCCUGAAGGAAUGCCACUGAGCAUCUCUACAGCAUUGUUUCUUACAUGUCCACAUUUUCGGAAUCCAUGACUGCUCAUAUUUUGUUAAGUCAUCUGUUAGUUUUUCUCUGAAUUAGGAAACUGAAGUGGAUAAGUUUUAUUUGAACGACUGAGGACUUUUGAUAAGUGUACUCCAACAGCUAUACUAACAGGUCUAGCAGUAUUCCACAGUUAUCAUGAAGGAUUUACCACCCUGAUCUCCUUGUUUCAAGCUUAUAAAGAAAAGGACCUACUCUGAAUGAAAUCCAAAACAGUACACCUAGUGGGAGAUACUUUCUAUGCCUGCGGGAUGAAAAGGCAAAAGAUAUUUAAAGUGAUGACUGAAGAAUCAGGAGCUGAAGAGCAUAAAGUGAACCCUUAUUAUUGUCAGUACUAUGGAAGAUUGUUUUCUUUGUAUGCUACAGGAAUAUGAACAUGCUGCUUAAUUGUGAUAAUCUUGGUUUAUAUUUGUCAAAGUUUAUGGACAGAGUGAUACCUGAUGCCUAAGGAAUUUGAAUAAAUAAAUGCAGCUGUACGUCUCCUUGUCAUGAUUACAAUUAAUAAAUCUUCCUUCCAUUAUCCAUUGAAA